AUUGAACGUUGGCGGCAGGCCUAACACAUGCAAGUCGAGCGAGCGGCGGACGGGUGAGUAAUGCUUGGGAAUCUAGCUUAUGGAGGGGGAUAACUACGGGAAACUGUAGCUAAUACCGCGUACCAUAGGAUGAGCCCAAGUGGGAUUAGGUAGUUGGUGGGGUAAAGGUUCACCAAGCCGACGAUCUCUAGCUGGUCUGAGAGGAUGACCAGCCACACUGGGACUGAGACACGGCCCAGACUCCUACGGGAGGAAGCAGUGGGGAAUAUUGCGCAAUGGGGGCAACCUGACGCAGCCAUGCCGCGUGAAUGAAGAAGGCCUUCGGGUUGUAAAGUUCUUUCGGUAGCGAGGCGUUAACUACAGAAGAAGCACCGGCUAACUCCGUGCCAGCAGCCGCGGUAAUUC
rnacentral:rRNA from 1 species